UGAGGAAUAUUGGUCAAUGGGGGCAACCCUGAACCAGCCAAGUCGCGUGAAGGAUGAAGGUCUUAUGGAUUGUAAACUUCUUUUAUACAGGAAUAAAUUGGGGGACGUGUCCCCUUUUGCAUGUACUGUAUGAAUAAGGAUCGGCUAACUCCGUGCCAGCAGCCGCGGUAAUACGGAGGAUCCGAGCGUUAUCCGGACUUAUUGGGUUUAAAGGGUGCGCAGGCGGGAUGUUAAGUCGGCGGUGUAAUUUUGCAGCUCAACUGUAAAAGUGCCUUCGAUACUGGCUUCCUUGAGUGUGGAUGAAGUAGGCGGAAUUUGUGGUGUAGCGGUGAGAUGCUUAGAUAUCACGAGGAACUCCGAUUGCGCAGGCAGCUUACUAAGCCACAACUGACGCUCAUGCACGAAGGCGUGG
rnacentral:rRNA from 1 species